rnacentral:lncRNA from 1 species
GCAACUUCUUCUUUCUUCUUCUUUUCGAGCACACGAUCAGUACCACUUUGGAUGGCCUGUGUGGUUUCUUUCAAUGCCAAAUAGCUCAAAAUUUUGUUGUAUCUCAAUCCUUCUUCGAUCAUGGAUCCCAUUUUUACUUCAUUGAAUGACUUUGCAACAGACAUCACCAGAUGACCAAAGUAGGUCGGCUCCAAUGUCUCCAAGAAGUAAUCUACCAUCUCGCUCUCUCUCAUCGGCGGAUCAACCCUUGCUGCUUGUUCCCUCCAACGGAAACCAAAUUCUCUAAAACUUUCUUAGGCUUCUUCUCCAACUUCAAUAAUGAAAAAUGACCGGGGACUAUCUCGAGGUUGUACUGGAAAUGGCUGAUGAAUGCUUGUGCCAAAUCAUCCCAUUUAUACCAUCGACCGGGGUCCUAUCUUGUGUACCACUCCAGUGCGGACCCAAUAAGACUUUGACCAAAAUAUGCUAUCAGCAAUUCAUCCUUUCCUCCAGCCCCUCUCAUUUUGCUGCAGAAACCUCGAAGGUGAGCCACCGGGUCUCCCUGUCCCUUGUACAAAUCAAACUUGGGCAUUUUAAACCCUGCGGGCAACUGGAUAUCAGGAAAAUGGAAAAAAUCUUUG